UGCAGUCGAACGAUGAUCCCAGCUUGCUGGGGGAUUAGUGGCGAACGGGUGAGUAACACGUGAGUAACCUGCCCUUAACUCUGGGAUAAGCCUGGGAAACUGGGUCUAAUACCGGAUAUGACUCCUCAUCGCAUGGUGGGGGGUGGAAAGCUUUAUUGUGGUUUUGGAUGGACUCGCGGCCUAUCAGCUUGUUGGUGAGGUAAUGGCUCACCAAGGCGACGACGGGUAGCCGGCCUGAGAGGGUGACCGGCCACACUGGGACUGAGACACGGCCCAGACUCCUACGGGAGGCAGCAGUGGGGAAUAUUGCACAAUGGGCGAAAGCCUGAUGCAGCGACGCCGCGUGAGGGAUGACGGCCUUCGGGUUGUAAACCUCUUUCAGUAGGGAAGAAGCGAAAGUGACGGUACCUGCAGAAGAAGCGCCGGCUAACUACGUGCCAGCAGCCGCGGUAAUACGUAGGGCGCAAGCGUUAUCCGGAAUUAUUGGGCGUAAAGAGCUCGUAGGCGGUUUGUCGCGUCUGCCGUGAAAGUCCGGGGCUCAACUCCGGAUCUGCGGUGGGUACGGGCAGACUAGAGUGAUGUAGGGGAGACUGGAAUUCCUGGUGUAGCGGUGAAAUGCGCAGAUAUCAGGAGGAACACCGAUGGCGAAGGCAGGUCUCUGGGCAUUAACUGACGCUGAGGAGCGAAAGCAUGGGGAGCGAACAGGAUUAGAUACCCUGGUAGUCCAUGCCGUAAACGUUGGGCACUAGGUGUGGGGGACAUUCCACGUUUUCCGCGCCGUAGCUAACGCAUUAAGUGCCCCGCCUGGGGAGUACGGCCGCAAGGCUAAAACUCAAAGGAAUUGACGGGGGCCCGCACAAGCGGCGGAGCAUGCGGAUUAAUUCGAUGCAACGCGAAGAACCUUACCAAGGCUUGACAUGAACCGGAAACACCUGGAAACAGGUGCCCCGCUUGCGGUCGGUUUACAGGUGGUGCAUGGUUGUCGUCAGCUCGUGUCGUGAGAUGUUGGGUUAAGUCCCGCAACGAGCGCAACCCUCGUUCUAUGUUGCCAGCGCGUUAUGGCGGGGACU
rnacentral:rRNA from 1 species